rnacentral:rRNA from 1 species
GCGAACGGGUGAGUAACACGUGGGUGAUCUGCCUCGCACUCUGUGAUAAGCCUGGGAAACUGGGUCUAAUACCGGAUAUGACCUUACAUCGCAUGGUGUUUGGUGGAAAGAUUUAUCGGUGCGAGAUGGGCCCGCGGCCUAUCAGCUUGUUGGUGGGGUAAUGGCCUACCAAGGCGACGACGGGUAGCCGGCCUGAGAGGGCGACCGGCCACACUGGGACUGAGACACGGCCCAGACUCCUACGGGAGGCAGCAGUGGGGAAUAUUGCACAAUGGGCGAAAGCCUGAUGCAGCGACGCCGCGUGAGGGAUGACGGCCUUCGGGUUGUAAACCUCUCUCGACAGGGACGAAGCGCAAGUGACGGUACCUGUAGAAGAAGCACCGGCCAACUACGUGCCAGCAGCCGCGGUAAUACGUAGGGUGCGAGCGUUGUCCGGAAUUACUUGGCCUAAAGAGCUUGUAGGCGGCUUGUCGCGUCGAUCGUGAGAACUUGGGGCUCAACCCCAAGCUUGCGGUCGAUACGGGCAGGCUUGAGUACUUCAGGGGAGACUGGAAUUCCUGGUGUAGCGGUGAAAUGCGCAGAUAUCAGGAGGAACACCGGUGGCGAAGGCGGGUCUCUGGGAAGUAACUGACGCUGAGAAGCGACAGCGUCGGUAGCGAACAGGAUUAGAUACCCUGGUAGUCCACGCCGUAAACGGUGGGUACUAGGUGUGGGUUCCCUUCCACGGGAUCCGUGCCGUAGCUAACGCAUUAAGUACCCCGCCUGGGGAGUACGGCCGCAAGGCUAAAACUCAAAGGAAUUGACGGGGGCCCGCACAAGCGGCGGAGCAUGUGGAUUAAUUCGAUGCAACGCGAAGAACCUUACCUGGGUUUGACAUACACCGGAAACCUGCAGAGAUGUAGGCCACCUUGUGGUCGGUGUACAGGUUGUGCAUGGCUGUCGUCAGCUCGUGUCGUGAGAUUUUGGGUUAAGUC